GGUGAAGCCCAGCUUGCUGGGUGGAUCAGUGGCGAACGGGUGAGUAACACGUGAGCAACCUGCCCUCCACUUCGGGAUAAGCCUUGGAAACGGGGUCUAAUACCGGAUAUGAGCUCGCAUCGCAUGGUGUGGGUUGGAAAGUUUUUCGGUGGGGGAUGGGCUCGCGGCCUAUCAGCUUGUUGGUGGGGUGAUGGCCUACCAAGGCGUCGACGGGUAGCCGGCCUGAGAGGGCGACCGGCCACACUGGGACUGAGACACGGCCCAGACUCCUACGGGAGGCAGCAGUGGGGAAUAUUGCACAAUGGGCGCAAGCCUGAUGCAGCGACGCCGCGUGAGGGAUGACGGCCUUCGGGUUGUAAACCUCUUUCAGCAGGGAAGAAGCGCAAGUGACGGUACCUGCAGAAGAAGCGCCGGCUAACUACGUGCCAGCAGCCGCGGUAAUACGUAGGGCGCAAGCGUUGUCCGGAAUUAUUGGGCGUAAAGAGCUCGUAGGCGGUCUGUCGCGUCUGGUGUGAAAUCCCGAGGCUCAACCUCGGGCUUGCAUCGGGUACGGGCAGACUGGAGUGCGGUAGGGGAGACUGGAAUUCCUGGUGUAGCGGUGGAAUGCGCAGAUAUCAGGAGGAACACCGAUGGCGAAGGCAGGUCUCUGGGCCGCAACUGACGCUGAGGAGCGAAAGCAUGGGGAGCGAACAGGAUUAGAUACCCUGGUAGUCCAUGCCGUAAACGUUGGGCACUAGGUGUGGGGCUCAUUCCACGAGUUCCGUGCCGCAGCUAACGCAUUAAGUGCCCCGCCUGGGGAGUACGGCCGCAAGGCUAAAACUCAAAGGAAUUGACGGGGGCCCGCACAAGCGGCGGAGCAUGCGGAUUAAUUCGAUGCAACGCGAAGAACCUUACCAAGGCUUGACAUGUACGAGAAAGCCCCCGAGACGGGGUUCUCUUUGGACACUCGUACACAGGUGGUGCAUGGUUGUCGUCAGCUCGUGUCGUGAGAUGUUGGGUUAAGUCCCGCAACGAGCGCAACCCUCGUCCUAUGUUGCCAGCGGGUUAUGCCGGGGACUCAUGGGAGACUGCCGGGGUCAACUCGGAGGAAGGUGGGGAUGACGUCAAAUCAUCAUGCCCCUUAUGUCUUGGGCUUCACGCAUGCUACAAUGGCCGGUACAGAGGGCUGCGAUACCGUAAGGUGGAGCGAAUCCCAAAAAGCCGGUCUCAGUUCGGAUUGGGGUCUGCAACUCGACCCCAUGAAGUCGGAGUC
rnacentral:rRNA from 1 species